GUAGGGUGCGAGCGCUGUCCGGAUUUAUUGGGCGUAAAGGGCUCGUAGGUGGUUGAUCGCGUCGGAAGUGUAAUCUUGGGGCUUAACCCUGAGCGUGCUUUCGAUACGGGUUGACUUGAGGAAGGUAGGGGAGAAUGGAAUUCCUGGUGGAGCGGUGGAAUGCGCAGAUAUCAGGAGGAACACCAGUGGCGAAGGCGGUUCUCUGGGCCUUUCCUGACGCUGAGGAGCGAAAGCGUGGGGAGCGAACAGGCUUAGAUACCCUGGUAGUCCACGCUGUAAACGGUGGGUACUAGGUGUGGGGUCCAUUCCACGGGUUCCGCGCCGUAGCUAACGCUUUAAGUACCCCGCCUGGGGAGUACGGCCGCAAGGCUA
rnacentral:rRNA from 1 species